UACAGAGGGUGCAAGCGUUAAUCGGAAUUACUGGGCGUAAAGCGUGCGUAGACGGUUAUGUAAGUCGGGUGUGAAAGCCCCGGGCUCAACCUGGGAAUGCCAUUCGAGACUGCAUAGCUAGGGUGCGGAAGAGGGAAGCGGAAUUUCCGGUGUAGCGGUGAAAUGCGUAGAUAUCAGGAGGAACACCGGUGGCGAAGGCGGGUCUCUGGGCCGAAACUGACGCUGAGGAGCGAAAGCGUGAGGAGCAAACAGG
rnacentral:rRNA from 1 species